UAUUUAUUUAGAACUGUCUUUAUUAGAAUUGAUUAUGCUGAUUCACUUCAUAUUUUGCCUACUUUAGUUGUUUGAUAUUUAUUCCUAUUUUAUUUUAGUUAUUGUGUUGUUAUUGUAUUUUUAUCAUCAUUAAAAAUUUAAUUAACUCUCCAUUUAACUUCAUAGAAGUUAUAUAAAAUUAGCUACAACACAAUAUUUAUAUUUACAAAACUUGAAUGGAAGGUUUUAUUUAUUUAUUUAAGAAUUAAGGUAAUAGUUUUCUCUCUUAAAAACUUGUAUGUUCUUGCACAUUUCCAAUUUUCUGUGUAAUAUUCAUUUCAAGUAGCACCAUUCUGAAUGUUUAAGGAAUCAAUGAUGCUUGGUUUUAGUUUUGAAACAUGGAAAGAAUGUAGUAGGCUUAUAUAUACUUAUUUGAUUCUGUUAUGCAUGUGUAAAUCAAUUAAUUCUUAUGUGUGUAAUUGGUGAGAGUAAAAUGUGAUUUUUUUUAUUUUAUUUUCUCUUUUAAUGUAGAAAGUAGAGAUCUAUUCAUUAUGAUUUAUAUAAAUUAGACUGGUUAUUACACCAAUUGAAAAUGGAGGUGAACAAGUAUAUAUGUUGUGAUAAAAGUGAUGUUCUUUAUCCUAAUUAACUCACAAUUUGAAGGCAAAUGUUAGAAGAGUUUGCAACUGGAUGGUUCCUUUCAUUUGAACUCUGACGAAAAUAGCUUCCAUAAGUAUCAUAGAUUUUCUAAUUCUAAUAAUUCACUUGAUAAUUUUUAUUUUCAUUUUCUUCAAUUGCAAGAGUAGAAGAAAAGAUUUAGCCUUUUCCAUUUGAGAAUAAUUAUUGCAUGAUUAUAAUUCAAGUGAUAGAUUGCUGACUAAUAUUAGAACAGGGGAUGCCUUUAUCUUGACCAUAGCAGUUAGUUGUUCACUAGAGCCCCUUUUUUCUUCUUCAUAUUGGUUUAUAGCUUUUUUGGAUCAGUAAUUGAAAUUGGCCAAACUUAUAACGUAUAUUACUAUAUAAUUUUUUAAUAUAAUCUGAAUUCACCAAUUUAGUCAGUGUUUGGGUUCUGAGUUUAGUUGUUGCUUCAAUUGCAGAUCUUCUUGCAGAGGGAGAAAACAUUCCGUCAAGGUAGAAGAAGAAGGGGCAGUAGUUAGAAGUUGGCCAGUGACUCAAAGGUCUUUUGGUGGAAGGGGAAACGGAUCGGCCAAGGCAGAAGAAGAAGGGGGCGACAGUUGAAAGUUGGCUGGUGACUCAUCAAAGGUUAAGAUUGGGCUGGGUUGUCAAAGGAGCUAAUGGUGGUAUGGCUGAUUUGCCUAUGACAU